GGGUUGUGAGGUUAAGCGACUAAGCGUACACGGUGGAUGCCCUGGCAGUCAGAGGCGAUGAAGGACGUGCUAAUCUGCGAUAAGCGUCGGUAAGGUGAUAUGAACCGUUAUAACCGGCGAUUUCCGAAUGGGGAAACCCAGUGUGUUUCGACACACUAUCAUUAACUGAAUCCAUAGGUUAAUGAGGCGAACCGGGGGAACUGAAACAUCUAAGUACCCCGAGGAAAAGAAAUCAACCGAGAUUCCCCCAGUAGCGGCGAGCGAACGGGGAGCAGCCCAGAGCCUGAAUCAGUGUGUGUGUUAGUGGAAGCGUCUGGAAAGGCGCGCGAUACAGGGUGACAGCCCCGUACACAAAAAUGCACAUGCUGUGAGCUCGAUGAGUAGGGCGGGACACGUGGUAUCCUGUCUGAAUAUGGGGGGACCAUCCUCCAAGGCUAAAUACUCCUGACUGACCGAUAGUGAACCAGUACCGUGAGGGAAAGGCGAAAAGAACCCCGGCGAGGGGAGUGAAAAAGAACCUGAAACCGUGUACGUACAAGCAGUGGGAGCACGCUUAGGCGUGUGACUGCGUACCUUUUGUAUAAUGGGUCAGCGACUUAUAUUCUGUAGCAAGGUUAACCGAAUAGGGGAGCCGAAGGGAAACCGAGUCUUAACUGGGCGUUAAGUUGCAGGGUAUAGACCCGAAACCCGGUGAUCUAGCCAUGGGCAGGUUGAAGGUUGGGUAACACUAACUGGAGGACCGAACCGACUAAUGUUGAAAAAUUAGCGGAUGACUUGUGGCUGGGGGUGAAAGGCCAAUCAAACCGGGAGAUAGCUGGUUCUCCCCGAAAGCUAUUUAGGUAGCGCCUCGUGAAUUCAUCUCCGGGGGUAGAGCACUGUUUCGGCAAGGGGGUCAUCCCGACUUACCAACCCGAUGCAAACUGCGAAUACCGGAGAAUGUUAUCACGGGAGACACACGGCGGGUGCUAACGUCCGUCGUGAAGAGGGAAACAACCCAGACCGCCAGCUAAGGUCCCAAAGUCAUGGUUAAGUGGGAAACGAUGUGGGAAGGCCCAGACAGCCAGGAUGUUGGCUUAGAAGCAGCCAUCAUUUAAAGAAAGCGUAAUAGCUCACUGGUCGAGUCGGCCUGCGCGGAAGAUGUAACGGGGCUAAACCAUGCACCGAAGCUGCGGCAGCGACGCUUAUGCGUUGUUGGGUAGGGGAGCGUUCUGUAAGCCUGCGAAGGUGUGCUGUGAGGCAUGCUGGAGGUAUCAGAAGUGCGAAUGCUGACAUAAGUAACGAUAAAGCGGGUGAAAAGCCCGCUCGCCGGAAGACCAAGGGUUCCUGUCCAACGUUAAUCGGGGCAGGGUGAGUCGACCCCUAAGGCGAGGCCGAAAGGCGUAGUCGAUGGGAAACAGGUUAAUAUUCCUGUACUUGGUGUUACUGCGAAGGGGGGACGGAGAAGGCUAUGUUGGCCGGGCGACGGUUGUCCCGGUUUAAGCGUGUAGGCUGGUUUUCCAGGCAAAUCCGGAAAAUCAAGGCUGAGGCGUGAUGACGAGGCACUACGGUGCUGAAGCAACAAAUGCCCUGCUUCCAGGAAAAGCCUCUAAGCAUCAGGUAACAUCAAAUCGUACCCCAAACCGACACAGGUGGUCAGGUAGAGAAUACCAAGGCGCUUGAGAGAACUCGGGUGAAGGAACUAGGCAAAAUGGUGCCGUAACUUCGGGAGAAGGCACGCUGAUAUGUAGGUGAGGUCCCUCGCGGAUGGAGCUGAAAUCAGUCGAAGAUACCAGCUGGCUGCAACUGUUUAUUAAAAACACAGCACUGUGCAAACACGAAAGUGGACGUAUACGGUGUGACGCCUGCCCGGUGCCGGAAGGUUAAUUGAUGGGGUUAGCGCAAGCGAAGCUCUUGAUCGAAGCCCCGGUAAACGGCGGCCGUAACUAUAACGGUCCUAAGGUAGCGAAAUUCCUUGUCGGGUAAGUUCCGACCUGCACGAAUGGCGUAAUGAUGGCCAGGCUGUCUCCACCCGAGACUCAGUGAAAUUGAACUCGCUGUGAAGAUGCAGUGUACCCGCGGCAAGACGGAAAGACCCCGUGAACCUUUACUAUAGCUUGACACUGAACAUUGAGCCUUGAUGUGUAGGAUAGGUGGGAGGCUUAGAAGUGUGGACGCCAGUCUSCAUGGAGCCGACCUUGAAAUACCACCCUUUAAUGUUUGAUGUUCUAACGUUGACCCGUAAUCCGGGUUGCGGACAGUGUCUGGUGGGUAGUUUGACUGGGGCGGUCUCCUCCUAAAGAGUAACGGAGGAGCACGAAGGUUGGCUAAUCCUGGUCGGACAUCAGGAGGUUAGUGCAAUGGCAUAAGCCAGCUUGACUGCGAGCGUGACGGCGCGAGCAGGUGCGAAAGCAGGUCAUAGUGAUCCGGUGGUUCUGAAUGGAAGGGCCAUCGCUCAACGGAUAAAAGGUACUCCGGGGAUAACAGGCUGAUACCGCCCAAGAGUUCAUAUCGACGGCGGUGUUUGGCACCUCGAUGUCGGCUCAUCACAUCCUGGGGCUGAAGUAGGUCCCAAGGGUAUGGCUGUUCGCCAUUUAAAGUGGUACGCGAGCUGGGUUUAGAACGUCGUGAGACAGUUCGGUCCCUAUCUGCCGUGGGCGCUGGAGAACUGAGGGGGGCUGCUCCUAGUACGAGAGGACCGGAGUGGACGCAUCACUGGUGUUCGGGUUGUCAUGCCAAUGGCACUGCCCGGUAGCUAAAUGCGGAAGAGAUAAGUGCUGAAAGCAUCUAAGCACGAAACUUGCCCCGAGAUGAGUUCUCCCUGAC
rnacentral:rRNA from 1 species